UGUAGGGUAAGUUAAUUAAAACUUUUGGGCUCAUGAUUCAAAUAUAGGGGCGGGAAUCCUCUUCCUACUUUG
rnacentral:tRNA from 1 species